GAUGAAGAACGUAGCGAAAUGCGAUAAGUAAUGUGAAUUGCAGAAUUCUGUGAAUCAUCGAAUCUUUGAACGCACAUUGCGCCCGGUAGUAUUCUGCCGGGCAUGCCUGUUCGAGCGUCAUUUCAACCAUCAAGCCCCAGCGCUUGUGUUGGGGGCCUGCGGCUGCCGCAGCCCCCUAAAAGCAGUGGCGGGCUCGCUAUCACACCGAGUGCAGUAGUUCAUCUUCUCUCCGGUCUUGUGAGGCGGGUUCCGGCCGUGAAACACCCCACUACAUUCAAGGUUGACCUCGGAUCAGGUAGGAAUACCCGCUGAACUUAAGCAUAUCAAUAAGCGGAGGA
rnacentral:misc_RNA from 1 species